rnacentral:lncRNA from 1 species
ACAGUGUGAGACUCGUCUUAAUAAUAGAUAAAUAAAAGAGUAAUCUAGUGGCUGAGAGCACAUUGAAGAAAAGGCUGUGAAUGAACCAGGUAUUUCAACACUUCAUCUCUCUCUUGCUGGCCCUAAUUGUAACUCCAGCGAUUCCAGAGACUUCAGAGCAGAAAAACCAGGUAGAAUCCUACAGAUUCUUUCAUACAGCAUUUUAUCAUCUGUGGCUCCACAUUAAGUAUUAACUUUUUUAUAUAUUUGUGCUCAUCGUAUAUAAUUUUAAGAAAAUAAAUGGUAGGCUCUAAGUUUCAUUUAACUUUCUAUUUCCAGGACUUUGAAAGAUGAGACAAGUAAAUGUGUAUGCUGCGAAUUAAUACGUGAAUGAACAAAUGACUACAGGCAUUAUCCGAAUGAUAUGAUCUUCCUUCCCCAUCUUUCUGGGUGUCGGCCUUCAUUCACCAUGAAGUUGUAAACACAACAUUGAUUUUGGAGUCAGACAACCUAAGUUCAAAUCUAGCCUUUGCUAAUUACUGGCUGAAAUCAUUGAGAAAUCUACUUAACCUGCCUGAGACCUCAGUUUCCUUAUUUGUAAAUGGAAUAGUAGUGCCUCAAGUGAGAUAAGGUGUCCCGUUCAGAGCAUCCAGGCUAAUGGACAGUUAAGGAAACGACCCAACAGCUAUUAGGGCUCCCUUGCUAUUGCCAAGCUUGUUUUCAUGCUGCAGGUGGUACUGAAUUAUAUAACACAUGUGCAGCUAAACAAGCAAAGACCCUGCAUGUUCACCACAUUCUCUCUCCUCUGAACUCUGAGGUUAAUACCAGUUGUCAAACUGGCUUACGGGAAGGCACUAUACCUGCUCACAGCUUGGCUAAGAAUCAAAGAGAUGUUUGUUUUGAAAGAAUAAAAUCCUUUACACCAAA